rnacentral:rRNA from 1 species
GACAGAGGGUGCAAACGUUGUUCGGAAUUACUGGGCGUAAAGCGAGUGUAGGCGGUGUGGUAAGUCGGAUGUGAAAGCCCCGGGCUCAACCCGGGAAGUGCACUCGAUACUGCCACGCUAGAGUAUCGGAGAGGUUGGUGGAAUUCUCGGUGUAGAGGUGAAAUUCGUAGAUAUCGAGAGGAACACCGGUGGCGAAAGGCGGGUCUCUGGGCCGUAACUGACGCUGAGGAGCGAAAGCGUGGGGAGCGAACAGG